rnacentral:rRNA from 1 species
UACGUAGGCAGCGAGCGUUGUUCGGAAUACUGGGCGUAAAGAGUGUGUAGGCGGUGCUCUAAGUUCGGUGUGAAAUCUCCCGGCUUAACUGGGAGGGUGCGCCGGAAACUGGAGUGCUCGAGCGUGGGAGAGGAAAGCGGAAUUCCUGGUGUAGCGGUGAAAUGCGUAGAUAUCAGGAGGAACACCUGCGGUGUGAGACGGCUUUCUGGACCAUUGCUGACGCUGAGACACGAAAGCGUGGGUAGCAAACAGG